rnacentral:ncRNA from 1 species
GUGCAAAACGGAGAUGACAUUCCUCCAUAACCGCCAUUCGGCUGAUGAUGUCUAUGCACUU